GAAGGCAAGUUUAAAUUUGCCCGGCAAAAGUCGAAGCUUGCUGGCACCAUUCGGGGGUCUUUUUUCGUCAUCAAGGGCAGCCAUUGAAAAAAGACAACUUUU
rnacentral:rRNA from 1 species